ACCCCACCAUCAUUUUAUGGUAAGGAGAAAAGAAGAUGGCCGCGAGGAGCGAGAAAGAAAACAAUCUCGAAGAGCGUUAAAGGUGGUAGAAGAACACGGUGCCUCGAAGGAGAACGAACUACGAAUCGUCCAAAACUCUCCAACUUCAGAUUGUCUUAACCACCACUAGACAAUAGACACUCGAAAAGUACGGGAAAACGAGUGUUGAAUAGUUACAUGUGUGUCCUUGUUACGAAGAGGUCAGUCUGUCGAGGAUCGUCCUUGGAAUCGCUCGUCCCUGAAGCCGGCUCGAGGAGCUAGUGAUCUCGAAAACAAAAAUGGCGGACGUCGACUCGAGGGUGGAUCAUUCGGAUCCCGAAUUGCGGUUCCUUUCCGUUGACAGGAAUAAUUUCAAUGAUCCUGCAACUCAGGCGGAAUGGACGCAGAAAAAGUUGGUUUGGGUGCCUCACGAAACUCAGGGUUUCGUUGCAGCCGGGAUAAAGGGUGAACGGGGUGAUGAGGUCGAAGUGGAGAUUGCCGAAACUGGAAAACGGGUCCUUGUCGCGAAAGAUGAUAUUCAGAAGAUGAAUCCACCGAAAUUUGAUAAAGUUGAAGACAUGGCUGAAUUAACGUGCCUAAAUGAAGCUUCGGUACUGCAUAACCUCAAAGACAGAUACUACUCCGGCCUCAUUUACACAUACUCAGGACUAUUCUGCGUGGUGGUAAAUCCAUACAAGAGGCUGCCAAUUUACACGGAAAAGAUAAUGGAGAGGUAUAAGGGUAUCAAGAGACACGAGGUCCCACCUCAUGUUUUUGCUAUUACGGACACUGCAUAUCGUUCUAUGCUUCAAGAUCGCGAAGACCAGUCCAUUCUAUGCACCGGUGAAUCCGGCGCUGGUAAAACUGAGAACACGAAAAAAGUAAUUCAAUACCUGGCAUACGUCGCUGCUUCGAAACCAAAAUCAAAUGCGACACCAAGUCCGGCAUUAAUCAUAGGUUCCGGAAAUGUUUCGGAUAAAUUUGCGGUAAUUAACGGUGAAUUGGAACAGCAACUCUUACAAGCGAAUCCAAUUUUAGAAGCUUUUGGGAAUGCUAAAACAGUGAAGAAUGACAACUCAUCCCGAUUUGGUAAAUUUAUUCGAAUAAACUUCGAUGCCUCGGGUUACAUUGCCGGUGCGAACAUAGAGACUUAUCUUCUGGAAAAGUCAAGAGCAAUUCGACAAGCGAAAGAUGAAAGAACCUUCCACAUAUUUUAUCAACUCCUAGCGGGUGCCUCCGCUGAUCAAAAAAAGGAAUUUAUCUUGGAGGAUCCGAAACACUAUCCAUUCCUUUCCAAUGGCGCAUUACCAGUUCCAGGAGUGGACGAUUCAGCUGAGUUCUUCUCAACCGUGAAGUCCAUGCAUAUCAUGGGCAUGACAAAUGAAGAUUUUUCUUCGAUCUUUCGUAUCGUGUCUGCGGUAAUGUUAUUUGGUUCUAUGCAGUUCCGUCAAGAAAGGAACUCGGAUCAAGCCACGUUACCGGACAAUACUGUUGCUCAAAAAAUUUCUCAUUUACUCGGUUUAAGCGUAACAGAAAUGACAAAAGCGUUUUUAAAACCAAGAAUUAAAGUGGGUAGAGACUUCGUAACGAAAGCACAAACAAAAGAGCAAGUUGAAUUUGCUGUAGAAGCAAUUUCAAAAGCUUGCUAUGAGAGAAUGUUUAGGUGGCUUGUAAACCGAAUCAACCGAUCAUUGGAUCGGACAAAAAGACAAGGAGCAAGUUUUAUCGGUAUCUUAGAUAUGGCUGGUUUUGAAAUAUUCGAGUUGAACAGUUUCGAACAGUUAUGCAUUAAUUAUACUAACGAGAAGUUACAACAAUUAUUCAACCAUACCAUGUUUAUUUUGGAACAAGAAGAAUAUCAAAGGGAAGGAAUUGAAUGGAAGUUUAUAGAUUUUGGAUUAGAUUUGCAACCAACUAUUGAUUUGAUUGACAAACCGAUGGGCAUCAUGGCUUUACUGGAUGAAGAAUGUUGGUUCCCUAAAGCAACAGAUAAAACAUUUGUUGAAAAAUUAGUAGGUGCACAUAGUGUACAUCCAAAAUUCAUGAAAACAGACUUCAGAGGUGUGGCAGAUUUUGCUAUCAUACAUUAUGCUGGAAAAGUUGAUUAUUCAGCUGCCAAAUGGUUAAUGAAAAAUAUGGAUCCUUUGAAUGAAAAUGUUGUUAGCCUUUUACAAAAUUCACAAGAUCCUUUCGUUUGUCAUAUUUGGAAAGACGCAGAAAUUGUUGGAAUGGCUCAGCAAGCAUUAACUGAUACACAAUUUGGUGCAAGAACAAGAAAAGGCAUGUUCAGAACAGUUUCUCAAUUGUACAAGGAACAAUUAGCAAAAUUAAUGGUUACUUUAAGAAACACAAAUCCUAAUUUUGUAAGAUGCAUCAUACCAAAUCAUGAAAAGAAGGCUGGAAAAAUUGAUGCACCAUUGGUACUAGAUCAACUGAGAUGUAAUGGAGUUUUAGAAGGAAUUCGAAUUUGCCGACAAGGAUUUCCAAAUAGAAUACCAUUUCAAGAAUUCAGACAAAGAUACGAACUUCUAACACCGAAUGCUAUUCCUAAAGGGUUUAUGGAUGGAAAGAAAGCUUGUGAGAAAAUGAUUCAAGCUCUUGAACUUGACCCUAAUCUUUAUCGCGUUGGUCAAUCAAAAAUUUUCUUCCGUGCUGGAGUUUUGGCUCAUCUUGAAGAAGAACGUGAUUAUAAAAUUACUGACAUAAUUGUUAAUUUCCAAGCAUUCUGUCGUGGUUUUCUUGCUCGCAGAAAUUAUCAGAAACGUUUGCAACAGUUAAAUGCUAUUAGAAUUAUUCAAAGAAAUUGUGCUGCUUACUUAAAACUUAGAAAUUGGCAAUGGUGGCGUUUGUAUACGAAGGUGAAACCACUUCUGGAAGUGACAAAACAAGAGGAAAAAUUGACUCAAAAAGAAGAUGAAUUGAAACAAGUACGGGACAAGUUAGAAAUGCAAUUACAUUCUGCACAAGAAUAUGAACGAAAAUAUCAACAAGCUAUGGAAGAAAAAACUAUGUUAGCAGAACAAUUACAAGCUGAAGUCGAAUUAUGUGCAGAAGCAGAAGAAAUGCGAGCGAGAUUAGCUGCCAGAAAGCAAGAACUAGAAGAGAUUCUUCAUGAUUUGGAAACAAGAAUUGAAGAGGAAGAAGAAAGAAGUGCUGGAUUGACUCAAGAAAAAAAGAAAUUGCAAUUAAAUAUAAGUGAUCUUGAAGAGCAGUUAGAGGAGGAGGAAGCUGCUAGACAGAAAUUACAGUUAGAGAAAGUACAAUGUGAUGCAAAAAUCAAAAAACUUGAGGAAGACCUUGCACUUUCUGAGGAUACAAAUCAAAAAUUGUUGAAGGAGAAAAAGAUCCUUGAAGAAAGAGCAAAUGAUUUAUCUCAGACACUUGCUGAGGAAGAAGAAAAAGCGAAGCACUUAUCUAAAUUAAAAGCAAAACAUGAAGCAACGAUUGCAGAUCUUGAAGAAAGGUUGUUGAAAGAUCAUCAACAAAGACAGGAAGUAGAUAGAUCAAAACGGAAAAUAGAAACUGAAGUAUCAGAUUUGAAGGAACAACUUGCAGAAAGGAAGACACAGGUAGAAGAACUUCAACUGCAACUUGGUAAACGUGAAGAAGAAUUAAAUCAAGUAAUGGCAAAAAUGGAUGAAGAAGGAGCAGCUAAAGCUCAAGCUCAAAAGGCACUUCGUGAAUUAGAGUCUCAAUUGGCCGAACUUCAAGAAGACUUAGAAGCUGAAAAGGCUGCUAGGGGAAAAGCAGAAAAACUAAAACGAGACUUAAAUGAGGAAUUAGAAGCAUUGAAAAAUGAAUUAUUAGAUUCUUUAGAUACAACUGCUGCACAGCAAGAAUUAAGAAGCAAACGAGAACAGGAAUUAGCAACAUUAAAGAAGAAUUUAGAAGAAGAAACAUCAAUACAUGAAGCAACAUUGGCGGAUAUGCGUCAUAAGCACACGCAGGAAUUGACUGCUUUGAACGAACAAAUGGAUGCAUUGAAGAAGACUAAAGCUGUUUUAGAAAAAGCAAAGGGAACGUUGGAGGCUGAAAAUGCUGAUUUAGCUACAGAACUUAGAUCUGUUGGUGCGAGCAGGCAAGAAUCAGAUAGAAGAAGAAAACAGGCUGAACAACAACUUGCUGAAGUAAAUGCAAAACUUGCAGAAGUGGAAAGAAACAGGCAGGAACUGAUAGAAAGAGUAACAAAAUUACAACAAGAAUCUGAAAGUAUUAUGCAACAAUUAGAGGCAGCAGAGUUGAAAGCUUCUGCAGCCUUGAAAGCUUCAGCAACUUGCGAAUCUCAAUUUACAGAACUUCAGCAACAACUUGAAGAGGAAACAAGACAAAAAUUAGCUUUAAGUUCAAAAUUGAGAGCGUUAGAAAGUGAAAAGGAAAGUCUGCAUGAUCAAUUAGAAGAAGAAGAGGAGGCAAAGAGAUGCUUAGAUAAACAGGUUAUGGGCUUAACUGUACAAUUGGCUGAAGCAAAGAAAAGAGUUGAGGAAGAAACUGAAGCUGCUACAGCAUUGGAAGAAGCAAGAAAACGGUGCAUGAAAGACAUUGAAGCACUUCAAAGACAAGUUGAAGAACUACAAGCUGCUAAUGAUAAAUUAGACAAAUCAAAGAAAAAGAUUCAAGCAGAAUUAGAAGAUAGUAUCAUUGAGCUCGAAGCGCAAAGAGCAAAGGUGCUGGAAUUGGAGAAGAAACAGAAAAAUUUCGAUAAGUUUGGGGAACUUUCUGUGCUGGCUGAAGAAAAAGCGGUCUCUGAACAGUAUGCAGAGCAACGUGAUGCUGCCGAACGUGAGGCCCGUGAAAAAGAAACUCGUGUCUUAUCCUUAACUCGAGAACUUGACGAAAUGAAUGAGAAAGUUGAAGAACUCGAACGAAUUCGUCGAGGUCUCCAAUCAGAAUUGGACGAACUCGUAAACAAUCAAGGAACAGCAGACAAAAAUGUGCAUGAACUAGAAAAAGCAAAACGUGCUCUUGAAUCACAAUUAGCGGAGCAACGUUCUCAAGUAGAAGAGCUCGAGGAUGAGUUACAAUUUACGGAAGAUGCUAAGUUGCGUCUAGAAGUAAAUAUGCAAGCUCUAAGAGCCCAAUUCGAGCGAGACUUGCAAGCUAAAGAAGAACAAGCUGAAGAGAAACGAAGAGGAUUGGUGAAACAAUUGCGCGAUCUUGAAGCGGAAUUAGAGGAUGAAAGAAAACAAAGAGCUGCCGCUAUUGCACAACGUAAAAAAAUGGAAGCAGACUAUAAAGAUAUUGAACAGCAAUUGGAAAUGCAUAAUAAGGUAAAAGAAGAUGCACUGAAACAAUUGAAGAAACUUCAAGCCCAAAUAAAAGAUUGCACUAGAGAAACUGAGGAAGCUAGAGCUGCCAGAGAUGAACUUGCAGCAAGUGCUAAAGAAACUGAGAGAAAGGUAAAGAGUUUAGAAGCAGACUUGAUGCAAUUAACUGAAGAUUAUGCCAGCAGUGAACGCGCUAGAAGAGCUGCUGAGAACGAAAGAGACGAAUUACAGGAAGAACUCAAUAAUAACGCUAAUAAGGGUACAUUAAUGUUGGAUGAAAAACGUAGAUUAGAAGCUAGAAUAGCAACAUUGGAAGAAGAGUUAGAAGAAGAGCAAUCAAAUGGUGAACUGCUAAUGGAUAGAGCUAGAAAAGCGCAAAUAACUAUAGAACAACUAACAAAUGAUUUAACGACUGAGAGAUCAACUACACAGAAAUUGGAAUCGCACAAAUUGUUAUUAGAAAGGCAAAAUAAGGAGUUGAAGGCGAAACUCACAGAAUUAGAAACUGCUCAAAGAGCAAAGACCAAAGCUACCAUUCAACAAUUAGAAUCAAAGAUUAAUAAUCUUGAUGAACAAUUAGAAACUGAAGCAAAAGAAAGAUUUGCACAGCAGAAGAUUAAUAGAAAAUUGGAGAAAAAGCUAAAGGAAUUAAGUUUACAGCUAGAAGACGAAAGGAGAAAUUCAGAUCAAUAUAAAGAACAAGCAGAAAAAGUGAAUGCUAGAAUGAAAGCUUUGAAGAGACAGCUUGACGAAGCUGAAGAAGAAAUUAGCAGGCAUAAAGCAAUGAAAAGGAAAGCGCAAAGAGAAAUGGAUGAUAUGCUUGAAUCUCAAGAAGAGCUAACCAGAGAGGUUGCAAAUCUUAAAAAUAAAUUAAGGCGUCGAGGGAAAAAGAAUAGUUCAUACCCCACGUGAAAAAAGCGGAAUUUCUUCAAGUCUCAAGCAUUCCUCGAGUCUUGACGAGGUGGUCCUCCAAUAAGCCUUAGUUCGACGCGUCUGAAACGCGGCUCUGUUCAAACCGGUGGAUCCGGCGACGAUUCGACGACACAGGAUGAAAGCAUCGAUGGAAACUCAUAAAAAUAUCCAGGUCCAAGAAGUGUGUGCAAGAUCCGUUUCGAUCAAAGUUAAGUUCGAAUCGGAGAACUCCUUUGUAUGAGUUCAGAAGUCGAUUCCAGUGCACCCAACGAUGCCAUUACACGAGGGCGGCGGCUUUCUUCUGUACAUAAGAAACCCGACAGGGCCGAUUAAGUAGUAUUUUAUCUCCGUUUCUUCCGGAACUCCACAGAAAAUGACGAAUUUUCUCUGGUCAACUUGAUAUGAGCGAGUCUUUCUUAUAUAUUUUAUAACAAGCUUAUUAACGUUUUUCAAUGUUAAUAAGCAAACAGCAAAAGAAGGUUGUACAAGUAAAUUUAAUCGAACUUUUUUUUCGAUAAAUUCAAUGUGCAAAAUAUACGCUUACGAAAUAUGUAUAUUAAUGCUAUAAUGCAUUAACAGUACUUGAAUGCCAUACACACUUCAUAUUUGACAUUCUUUCAAUUAUAUCUUACAAUGAAGAUGUUCGUCAUUUUUUUGGAAAAUGCUACCACAUAGUCGGGUAAGAUUCAGACUAGAAAUAUAUUAUUGGGGCUGCAUAAUCGAUAACGAAUUAACACCGCAUUUAGGCAGCAUUAAUAUCUAUUAUAAUUAUAUUAUAGUUAUUAUUAUUAUUAUUAAUUAUUAUAUUGCCGCAGUUUUUAUUUUUAUCGCGAAAAAUAUCGUAAUAUGUUACUUGUAAUUAUUUUUAAUAAUCAAGUCAAUGGCGGACGAUUCUAGCAUCGUUCCGAAAGAUGUGAGAUUAAUAGAAUUUUCGAAAGGCUGAAACUUACUUUUUGUUAAUCAAAGUGUUUAAAGAAACUGUUUUUUAAAUAAUAUACUAACAGCAUCGAAUCAAACGAAUAAAAAGUAAAUUUAAAACUUCUGAAGAAAAAUUGUUUUUAUGUUUCACAGAAGUUUAAGGACAGUUCUAAAGGAAAUUAAAGCAGAUUGAAACGAUCGAAAGCUAAAGAACGUCUAAGAAAACUUGCUUUUUUAUGUCUAAAUACCUUGCACAGAAAAAGAUAUCUUAUUCGGAUAUCAAAUUUCAAAGCGAAGAAAAGUAGUAUUAUUAUUUUUAAGAAAAAUUUUAUUCUUUAUGUUUCGGUCGAAUGUGUUAAUAAUUGCUCUUCUUGAUUUCUUUCAAAUAAUCAUUGUAUAGUCAAUUUUUUUGUUUCCAACUCGUCUGACGGAACGAACUAGAAAUCGACGAUCGAGAGUUAUCAAUUGGUACUUAGGGUCGAUCGUAGAUCGAGAACUUUUUCGUUUCGUAUUAUUCAAUUUUAAAUGCAUCGAAAAGUCGAUGUAUGUUUUCAUAUCAUUGUUUUACCAUCUGCAUGAACUUAUAAAUAUCAUACUAAUAAACGUCAAUUUUUUACAGCUAUAUAUACAUAUUAAACUUUUUCAAACAGUUUCGAAGGACUACUUUACUUCUACCGGUAAUGUUUUUAGGUAGAAAAGCAAUGUUCUAAUGAAUUUCUUUAUGCAUUUAAAAUUGAAUCGUCGAAAAUCACAAAACAAAAUUUAAAAAAGGAAGAAGAGAAAGCCAGCAAUGUUUUUAUAUAUGCAUUUUUUAUGACAUGUGCAUUUCUCAUGCAUUAGAAAAAACGCAUUUUUAACCUCCUUUUGUAAAGAUUUAAACAAAGAAAAGAAUUUAAAGCAGGCAAACGACUUUAUAUGUACUUGCGAUGUUCCCUGUUACCUUGAGAUAUUCAUUAUUUGAUUACACAGAUAAAUAUUCUUAAAGGUAUUUACAACCCGGAAUGAAAGAUAAAAGGAGGUUAAUGAGCGAUCAUAUGUAUUACACGUACAUAUGUAUACGUAUACAGAGUAUCGUAAAGUAUGGGGUAUUUGGUAAACAAGUCUUAUACCGAAAAAAAUUAUUAUAAAAAAAUUGAAUGAUACUACUUGAUCAAUUUAUUUUCUACGGAUUUACUUCAUUCUUCAAUUAAACAUAAAAAAAAGCUUAAUAGAUAUAUAUUUUUUGCGAUAAAAGUACCUAAUAUAUAACGUGUACUAUCAAUUUCGAUAUUGAAAACAACUAGAUUACUUCGUAACCGAUGCUGGAGCAAAAACAAAAUAUACUUUGUACAAAAAUAUUAUUUCCUAAGUGCAACAUACUUUAUUGCAUACUUUAUAUAUAUGUCCGGAAUAUUCUAUUUUUUGAUAUGGCAAAGUGAUUGGUGUCUGGACGAAACCGGCCUGUUUUUUACAUUAAACAACUUUCUAGUGAUUUUUUAGGCGGGCUUUUCAAAUUCGCAAUUGAACUGCCACUUCACACCAUCGUGGACUAUUUUCUCCACAUAAUGAUGAUGAAUUAAAUUUGAAAAUCUUUUGAUUAAAUUAAUAAACUUAUACACAUUUUCGACGAAUUUACUUAAUAAGAAAUAAAUUAUAAUUUCAUACGUAAAAAGAAUCAUUGUAUUCAAUUAUAUCUAUUGAAUAGAAAUGUCGACGAUGUGUGAGUAGAAUACAAAAAUGAAAUGUAAAAGGAUACAUAUACAUAUUUGUACUUUUUUUAGGUCUGGAAACAUAGGUGAAAGCUCUGAACCUCAGGAUCUUUUAUAAAGUAUAGAAAGCUUGAAUACCGAACACUGAAACGUCGACAACCUUUUCAUCAAAUGCAUUUCUUUUUGAUGGAAAUUUGGAUGAUUGUAAAAAAUAUACAUCUUUAAUUGUGCAAAAUCACACCACAAUAAUAAUAAUUAUUAUUUUUAUUAUAAAUAAUGAAUAGAGAUAUAACAAAUAAAUAAUGUAAAAGGAAUUCAAUCAACAUAACAAUUAUACUAAAAUAUCUCCAAUAUAGCCAUAAUAAAAAUUUUGUUAAUUUUUCCUUUA